UGGGUCAGCGACUUACAUUCAGUGGCAAGGUUAACCGAGUAGGGAAGCCGUAGAGAAAUCGAGUCCGAAUAGGGCGUUCAGUCGCUGGGUGUAGACCCGAAACCAAGUGAUCUAUCCAUGGCCAGGGUGAAGCGCGGGUAAUACCGCGUGGAGGCCCGAACAAGUGGAAGUUGAAAAUUCCUUUGAUGAGCUGUGGAUAGGGGUGAAAGGCCAAUCAAACUGGGUGAUAGCUGGUUCUCUCCGAAAUAUAUUUAGGUAUAGCGUCAGGUAAAUUCUAUCGCGGAGGUAGAGCACUGAAUGGGCUAGGGGUCUUUACCAGAUUACCAAACCCAACCAAACUCCGAAUGCCGUUGAUAUCUACUCCGGGAGGCAGUCACGGGGUGAUAAGGUCACGUGACGAGAGGGAAAGAGCCCAGACCAUCAGCUAAGGUCCCAAAGUACAUGCUAAGUGGAGAACGUUGUGGGGUUACUGAGACAACUAGGAGGUUGGCUUAGAAGCAGCAAUCCUUUAAAGAAAGCGUAAUAGCUCACUAGUCUAGUGACUCUGCGCGGAAGAUAUAACGGGGCUCAAGCAUGUCACCGAAGCUAUGGGUGUGCAGCAAGUGCUGCACGCGGUAGAAGAGCGUUCUAGUGUAGGCUGAAGGUCGAUCGUGAGGACGGCUGGACGAACUAGAAGUGAUCAUGCUGACGUAAGUAGCGUUUAACAGAGGUGAAAAACCUCUGCGCCGUAAACUCAAGGGUUCCUGGGCAAGGAUAAUCCUCCUAAGGGUUAGUCAAGUCCUAAGAUGAGGCCAAGAGGCGUAAUCGAUGGCAACACGGUUAAUAUUCCGUGACCAGUAUAAGCGUAGCGUAGGAGGGACGGGGUAGGUCGUCUCAAGCCGGUUAAUGGUUCCGGUCUAAGCGUGUAGGAGGUCUUGUAGGCAAAUCCGCAAGACAACUCUGAAGCGUGGGCGAAGGGCCUUGUGCCCUGAAGUUGAGAUUAGCCAUGCCUCCAAGAAAAGCUUCGACGUGUUUUCUUAUACUGCCUGUACCGUAAACCGACUCAGGUGAGUGGGAUGAGUAUUCUCAGGCGAUUGGGUUAAAUCUGGUUAAGGAACUCGGCAACUUAACACCGUAACUUCGGGAAAAGGUGUGCCGCUUGGAGUGUAUGGGCUUGCCCCAAAAGCUUUGGGCGGUCGCAGAGAAAUGGGAGUAGCGACUGUUUAUCAAAAACACAGGCAUGUGCAAAGUCUCAAGACGACGUAUACGUGCUGACGCCUGCCCGGUGCUGGAAGGUUAAGAGGAUUAGUUAGCCGCAAGGCGAAGCUGAGAAUCGAAGCCCCAGUAAACGGCGGCCGUAACUAUAACGGUCCUAAGGUAGCGAAAUUCCUUGUCGGGUAAGUUCCGACCUGCACGAAUGGCGUAACGACUUCUCCGGUGUCUCAACCAGAUGCCCAGCGAAUUCGAAUUCUCGGUGAAAAUGCCGGGUACCCGCAGAAAGACGGAAAGACCCCGUGAACCUUUACUGUAACUUGGCAGUGAAUUUAGAGUCUGCAUGUGUAGGAUAGGUGGGAGCCUUUGAAGCCGGGACGCUAGUCUCGGUGGAGGCAACCUUGAAAUACCACCCUUGUAGUCUUUGAGUUCUAACCUGCGCCCUUAUCAGGGCGAGGGACACUGUCUGGUGGGCAGUUUGACUGGGGCGGUCGCCUCCCAAAGAGUAACGGAGGCGUACGAAGGUCCGCUCAGCCUGAAUGGAAACCAGGCGUCGAGUGCAUUGGCAUAAGCGGGCUUAACUGCGAGUCCUACAAGACGAGCAGGUGCGAAAGCAGAACUUAGCGACCCGACUAUUCAUUAUAGAAAGGUAGGAGAUAACGGACUUAGAGUUUUUGGAAGUCCUCAAUUUUCAACGGCUUCUCUAGAAGAUGGCGUCUUUAGAUGUGAAUUUUUAGCCCAUGUACUACCAAAAGUAGGACUUAAAAAAUACACAGGUUUCGAUAUACCAUCACCUGCCAUGCCCUCUCUUGAGGAGAUGACUGCUCGACUUAUGGAAGAGUUUAGGAUGAAAUAUGCAAAUAUGCGUAUGUUUGAAGAUGGUGAUUUCGUACAAGAGAAUGAUACCGUGAUAUUUAAUCUUGGAGUUGAAUCAUCUAACGGAUCUUUAUUGCAACAGAUUGACGGAGAGACGGUUUCCA
rnacentral:rRNA from 1 species